rnacentral:rRNA from 1 species
UACAGAGGGGGCUAGCGUUGCUCGGAAUCACUGGGCGUAAAGCGCACGUAGGCGGCUUUCUAAGUCAGGGGUGAAAUCCUGGAGCUCAACUCCAGAACUGCCUUUGAUACUGGAGAGCUCGAGUCCGGAAGAGGUGAGUGGAACUGCGAGUGUAGAGGUGAAAUUCGUAGAUAUUCGCAAGAACACCAGUGGCGAAGGCGGCUCACUGGUCCGGUACUGACGCUGAGGUGCGGAAGCGUGGGGAGCAAACAGG